ACGUCCUGCUCGUGAUCGUCUUCUCACCCUUCACGGCGGGCGGAACAACGAAGGACCCCCACGAGGACAUGACUCGCGGGGGUCCUUC
rnacentral:ncRNA from 1 species